rnacentral:lncRNA from 1 species
AUUAUUCUUGGCCCCUAUUUAUGACACAUAAUACUGACAUUCACUAUGGGUAUUUGGUACCUGUCCAUGGCACAUCUUCGUUCUCCUUACUUCCCCUUACGUUCUUUACCUGACAGUGUGUGGAAAUCUGUGUCCGUACGCUACACAUGUCCUACAAAAGCUCCGUUCCACGUGUGUGAAGCGUGUUCACUACAGCUGGCAACGUUAGAGCGCUCACACUUCCACCCUGGGAAACGUGGCCGGCCGUGCAAACGCAGUGUGACGGGAGCUGGGUCGCAUUUCCGUUUCCGGCGCCCCUUGCCGGCAUCGGAGCCCCUCCAGAGGAGACGGCUGACCUCCUCUGCGAGUGAGCGUCCCCUGCACCCCUUCAGUGCAAGCCCUGGGAAGGUUGCACAGAAGUGGAGCCGUGAGCUGAGAAUACAUUGUUGCCUUGGAAGCUGCCAGGUUUGGGGCUGGUUUAUUAUGCAGUGUUAUUAUGGUACUGGUGAACUGCAAGGGAAACUGGUACCUAGAACAGAAACCUACAAUCUGUGGCAUUGGCUUUGGAACCAGAAACAGUUAUAGGCAGCUGGAGAAAUGGUGGCCUGCGCUAUGGAGGGGAGGGACGUUUGCCAAACCUGUCACUUGCAAUGACUGGGAGGUUAGGAAGAAU